rnacentral:piRNA from 1 species
UAGAACCAUCUGUUCCCAAUUACUUAGC